UGGGCUCGCGCGGCGUCUCCUCCUCUCCCCUCGCGUCCCCUCCCUUCCCUCAGCCGCCGCCUCGCGUCUCCUCAGGGCGUGAGCGGGAACCGCCGCUCCGCCGGCCCGGGAGGAGGCAGAGCAGGGAGCGGAAGGGAGGGAAGGAGAAGCGGCGGCUGGCAGGCUGUGAGGGUGGUGGGGCUGUGCUAUAGGUCGGCGCGGUGGGUUGUAGGUCGUUGCUGCCUCGGCUGCCGAGGAAAAUGGGGUCGAAGGGCGGCGGUGUUUGGCCGCCGUGGUGCCCGGAGAGCGAGCGCCCUUUCGGCCGCUGCUGAGGGAGCGACACGUCUGUCCCCAGCUGUGGUGCUGAGGGGACUUUGCUGGCAGCUUGAGUGUAGGCGAGCGGGGCCCUGAGGUGACGCAGCAGCCAGGCUCGGAGGGAAACCCUAGAGGUAGCUCCAGAGAAUGCUCGGUGCACUUCACUUAGGCUGCUCUGUCGUAUUAUGGAUCCUUGGCAUUUCAUUCUGAAGAUGAAUUGUCAUGACACUGGUUACUUGAGGUGAAGAUGGUAAAGAAGAACAUUACACUGUGAACCAGAUGAUUUUUGAGAUUUCCUCUGUCUCAGGGCAAAAUCCAUCGCGUGUGAAAACAAAUGGAGCUGGGAACUAACAGGAGACAUGGCAAAGGGGUAUAGUGAUGUGGCAUAAACUGAAAGAAGAAUAAUUCCU